UGGGGAAUAUUGGACAAUGGGCGCAAGCCUGAUCCAGCCAUGCCGCGUGAGUGAUGAAGGCCCUAGGGUUGUAAAGCUCUUUCACCGGUGAAGAUAAUGACGGUAACCGGAGAAGAAGCCCCGGCUAACUUCGUGCCAGCAGCCGCGGUAAUACGAAGGGGGCUAGCGUUGUUCGGAAUUACUGGGCGUAAAGCGCACGUAGGCGGAUCAGCAAGUUAGGGGUGAAAUCCCGGGGCUCAACCCCGGAACUGCCUUUAAAACUGUUGGUCUCGAGUCCGGAAGAGGUGAGUGGAAUUCCGAGUGUAGAGGUGAAAUUCGUAGAUAUUCGGAGGAACACCAGUGGCGAAGGCGGCUCACUGGUCCGGUACUGACGCUGAGGUGCGAAAGCGUGGGGAGCAAACA
rnacentral:rRNA from 1 species